rnacentral:rRNA from 2 species
GGACUACUCGGGUAUCUAAUCCCGUUUGCUCCCCUGGCCUUCGUGCCUCAGUGUCAGUAACUGUCCAGAGAUUCGCCUUCGCCACUGGUCUUCCUUACGAUAUCUACGCAUUUCACUGCUACACCGUAAAUUCCAAUCUCCUCUCCAGUACUCAAGCAAGGCAGUAUCAAGUGCAGUUUCGGAGUUGAGCUCCGAGAUUUCACACCUGACUUACCCCGCCACCUACGCACCCUUUACGCCCAAUGAAUCCGAACAACGCUUGAGACCUCUGUAUUACCGCGGCUGCUGGCAC